rnacentral:rRNA from 1 species
AGCGUAGGUGGGCUUGUAAGUCAGUGGUGAAAUCUCUGGGCUUAACCCGGAAACUGCCAUUGAUACUAUAGGUCUUGAAUUCUCUGGAGGUAAGCGGAAUAUGUCAUGUAGCGGUGAAAUGCUUAGAUAUGACAUAGAACACCCAUUGCGAAGGCAGCUUACUACGGAGACAUUGACACUGAGGCUCGAAAGCGUGGGGAUCAAACAGGAUUAGAUACCCUGGUAGUCCACGCCCUAAACGAUGAUUACUCGACAUUAGCGAUAUUACUGUUAGUGUCUAAGCGAAAGCAUUAAGUAAUCCACCUGGGAAGUACGACCGCAAGGUUGAA